rnacentral:tRNA from 1 species
GCCUUCUUAGCUCAGCGGUAGAGCGUUGGUCUCGUAAACCAAAGGUCGAGUUCAAUCCUCUCAGGAGGCA